rnacentral:lncRNA from 1 species
AGAUAACUCCAACACAGGGACGACCGACUGGGGGAUCGCCAACCUAGAAGUCCUCAGGAAAUUCCUCGUAGAAGCUGUCAUCUGUUAUCCAUCCGGGAUUUUGUCCAAAAAGAAAGAUAAAGACAAGCGUGAGUACAUCUCGUACUCCGCAAGCAUAACAUAGGAUAUUAUGCGGCUCAAAGAGGUCAGACACUGGCUACUGCAGUUAGCAUUUUAAUUGGUCAAUAUUUUAAUCCUACUUAAUUAUCAAUUAUGCUUAAGCUCCCGAUUAGCCCAAAUGAGUACAUGGUAAUAACACCGUCAACCUUCUCGGCUAACACCAUCACCAUCACGGUUAAACCACAUUAAUCAUCACGAUCAAUGCGUCAGAUUUUCACAAGUUAUUUCCCAUAACCUUCCACACCCAACUAUUCCGUAAGGGUCCAAGGCCGCUCAUGUCCGAGAGCACGGCUAGUAUACCAGUUUGAUCAAACUCUGCGCAGAGGUGUGCACUUUUCCCGUAAGUCGUGUUACCCAUAUGCCCGGGGUUUGCAAGACCCACUAACACUUCCAAGGUGAGCGGGCAGGGAACACUAUAAAGCCUUCCAUAGGCCACGUCUAACCAGUUAGGGCCGCGAGGUUUCCUCGGCAGGCAGAUAUAGAGAACCCCCCUUUCCUAUGGCACAAUUCCAUCACGGCUAUACACAUAAGAACAGAAGCAGUUCUAUACCCAAAGUGGCAAGCCCCUCUUGCGCCCUUUCGGGUAACCUCUAACCAGCUAGAUGAGAUCCUAUUACUGAGCUAAAGUUAGAGCCAUAUAACCAUCACGGUUGCACUGUAAGUCCCGGAUUGUCGCUUACAGAGAAGUCCUUACGGAGGGUCUAGGUCAACCCAACCGAAGUCAAUUGCACCAUAGCCCUUUUUCCCAACAUUUAUCAUCAUAUUCAUUAAAGUCAGAGUGAUAGUAAAUUCUCAAUUAAUUAAAGCACUAGCAAAGCUACCCACAUGCAUUCUACCCAUAGGUGUCAUAAAUAUAUAGUCAGGUAGCUAGGAUGUCCUUAGGGUUACCAAAUUAGACACAUGCAGAUGCGUAAUUAAUUAAGUGAAUAGGUGUACAAGGGAAACCCAUGUUAUACUUGCCUUCGGUGAAGGGGAACUGCUGCUGGUCCUGCUGCUCCUCGAAGAAAAAUGGAUCACCCACGGACACGUCACCGUCUGCGCUCGAUUGGUACCACACAACAACACGCAUCCAGGUUCAUUCAUACAAGCAAA